UUUUCCUUUUUUUUUUUUUUAUCUUAUAAGUGCAUUGAUAUUUUGGGGUCAAUAGGCCUGGAAUAGGCUAUAGUAGCAAGCUAAACAUUCAUUAGUUUUUGUGCUCUUCUGAAAACAUGAUCUCCUACUUUUCCUAAGUGCCAUUGCUAAGGAAUCCAACAUGUGAUUACCAAGGUCUACCUAUUGGCUUUCCUCCACUCUUUCCUCCACAUUCAGACCUAAAAUCCCACAAAGUACUUGUUGAAUACAGCCACAACACAGCCACUAAUAUAAUAUUACAGAACUGAGGCCAAGGACCUCUUUUCUGAUCAGUUAGCAGCUUUCCAAUGGGCUGGUAUCAAAGAGUUGUAACCUCUUCAUUCUCAAUGACUGGUCAUAUUUCACACGUUUUUACCAGUUGGCUUAAAAUUUCCAAUUGACGAUAAAUUUAAAAGAUAGGAAAAAGUAAAUGAGAGGGAUGACAGUGGGUGAACAAAAGGAUCAUACAGACAAAAGUGAGGUCAAAACUCAUGUAAAGCGUGUAGAAAAUGGAAAUUCUUGCUUAGGUCUGGUAUACAUAGACCCAAAGACAUAUCAAGAUAUACAUUCAACAUAGAAUCCACCAAUUUUGCAUGCAAAACCCAUCCAUCUAUGUAUUGGUCCAAAUGAAUCGUGUCUAGGAAAAAAUGACUCCAUAAAAAAUUUAGAAAAUUUCAUCCCAUGAGAGAAUAGAUA
rnacentral:misc_RNA from 1 species